UCUCAGUGGACAGACAGACACAGGGAAGGUCAAGAGUGUCAUUCAUGGAGAAUCUCCUGAAUCCAGCUGUGUGUCCAUGAAGAGUGACGGGUCAAUGGAUCAUCCAUUUAAAUUCAGUUCAGGAGCCCCUUGUGCUGAUGUGAGAAUAGAAGUAAAUUAUCUGCACCGGACGAGACCGUGAGAGUCGCUGGCUGGUUGCCGUUAAAGAAAAUGAACAAAACAUGGGUUCUGGUGGAAUGGAGGGAGGAGCCUCCCACCUAUGAUAUUGUCCCUAAAAAGGACAUACUAAAAAAAAGUUUGAACCUGGAGAUGUUGUGGAUGUGGUUUAUGAAGAGGAAAGUUCCCCAGCCACAGUUAUAGAUAUUGAUGAGAGCAAAGAAACCCUCAGGAGGAGGAUGUUCAGGCUAGAGGGGAAAAGAAAAAGUCAGCCAUGUUUGCAAAAUGAUGCAAAAAGAGUGGCAAAGAAAAAAAAAACUUACACUCCAACUCAGUCCCCAUCUCACUCAUCAUCUG